rnacentral:rRNA from 1 species
UACAGAGGUCCCAAGCGUUGUUCGGAUUUACUGGGCGUAAAGGGCGCGUAGGCGGCCACCGCAAGUCAGUUGUGAAAUCUCUGGGCUUAACCCAGAACGGUCAGCUGAUACUGCGGGGCUAGAGUGCAGAAGGGGCAACUGGAAUUCUCGGUGUAGCGGUGAAAUGCGUAGAUAUCGAGAGGAACACCUGCGGCGAAGGCGGGUUGCUGGGCUGACACUGACGCUGACAGCGCGAAAGCUAGGGGAGCGAACGGG